rnacentral:rRNA from 1 species
GAAAACAAUUUUCUUCUAGCACUAACGCACCGGAUCUCAUCAGAACUCCGGAGUUAAGCGUUCUUGGGUGAGAGUAGUAUUAGGAUGGGUGACCCCUUGGGAAGUCCUCGUGUUGCAUCCC